GGAUCACAAUGUCUGAAUUUCCUCUAAUUUCAACCCCUUCAGGAUGCAGACCUGAAAAUGAGGCCCAGAGGGGCAGUGACUUUCCCAAGAUCACACAUCUGGAACCCAGAGAAGUUCUGACUGAGCUGCACCCAAGAGAUGGUCGAGGAGCUGGUGGAUGGCUUCCAGUUGACCCUCUCCCUGGAGAGAACACAAGUGCACCACUCCAUCAAUGACCAGGGCUGCUCUGAGUGUGAGGAUGAGUUCACUGUGAAUUUAAAUGAGGCCUGCAGGAUGCGUGCCCUCCAGGCAGCGUGAUGGAGAAGCUGACAGAGUCCAUGGUACCAGCUUUCCUGAGUAGGAAUAUGUCCAGCUUCACCACCUUCAUGAUCAACUACUCGGCCUUAGACACAUCCCACCGGGUCCUGGACCAGCUGUUUACUAGCUGAGUAGCCACUCCCUCCUCAGCACAGUGGUGACUCUGCCCACUGCCAGCUGUGUACCUUGGGCAAAUCCCCACAUCUCUC